UGUAAAAAAGAAAAUAAAGUCGGGAAGUAGGCAGAUCCCUACCUCUCUUUCACCCCUACAAGGGCAUGAAUUCUUGAGCUGCAGGAGACAGAAAAGUCUGAAUUCUGCCCCAGUCUCAGGCAAACCGCUAAGUCUUGUAACUGUGUAGUCUCUGAGACCUGACAUUCCUUACUAGCCACUGUGCCAAUACAUCAGAUUCUCAGCCCCUGCUCAGGAUGAAGCCCUUUCACAUACAUAUUUUAUGUCAUUUUAACAAUAAAAUUAGGAAAUAUCUCCCCAAAUUUCAUAACAGAAUAAAUUAGAAGGAAUUAGAAGCAGAGGCUUCUAACUCCAAGGUGAAUUAUUGUCCCCUGGGCCAUAGCUACAUCCUCCCACUCUUUAUUCCUUCCAGUCCCCUCACCUCCCAGCCUGCAACCCAAAAUAUUAUCUUUAGGAAACUUUCACCAAAUGUGGACACACACAAUUUCACAGCCAUAAUGAAGAGCAGAAUUAUGCUAAGAACAGAGAGAUAGUACAAGAUAGUACAAGUAAUUAUACAGUAGGCAAUCCAAGUGAGAAUGGAUUUUGGAACCAGAAUGCCUGGGCUCACAUCCUCAUUUCUCCAC
rnacentral:lncRNA from 10 species